rnacentral:rRNA from 1 species
GACGAACGCUGGCGGAGUGCCUAAUACAUGCAAGUAGGCCGCAGUUGCGAACGGGUGAGUAACGCGUAGGUAACUACCUAUUAGAGGGGGAUAACUAUUGGAAACGAUAGCUUAUACCGCAUACUAGUAGAUGGACCUGCGUGGUAUUAGCUAGUAGGUAGGGUAAUGGCCUACCGAGGCAACGAUACAUAGCCGCCCUGAUGGGGUGAUCGGCCACACCUGGAAUGGGAAACGGCCCCGAAUCCUACGGGAGGCAGCAGUAGGGCAUCUUCGGCGAUGGGGGGAACCCUGACCGAGCAACGCCGCGGGGUUGGAGAAGGUUUUCGGAUCGGAAAGCUCUGUUGUUAAGGAAGCGGUACUUAACCAGAAAGGGACGGCUAACUACGUGCCAGCCGCCGCGGUAAUUC